rnacentral:misc_RNA from 1 species
GGUGAGCUUUGUUCACUUAACCAUUGAUCUUGCACCGAAACAGGUGAAUUGUCCUUUGCUAUUUCCAUUGACUCCACGCUACUGCCCUCUGUUAACAAAACUCUGCUAUUUUCCACUUGAGCUUUCUUAAUAUCAGUGAAGCUGAGAGGCUUCUCGCUGAUAUUCGAUGAAGAAGAGCAGGAGGUAUCAGCUGAUGAAGCUGUGUAAUUUAUUUCCUCUGAAGGUGCCCAUCUACUUAGCUUUAUUU